GCAAACUUGGUCAUUUAGAGGAAGUAAAAGUCGUAACAAGGUUUCCGUAGGUGAACCUGCGGAAGGAUCAUUACCGAGUUAGGGUCUCCCUCGCGGGGCCCGACCUCCCAACCCCGUGUCUAUCAAACCUGUACGUGUUGCUUCGGCGGACCGGCGUCCUGCGCCGCCGGGGGGAGCUCCCGGCCGUUCCCGGCCGUUCCCCUGGAGAGCGUCCGUCGAUGGCCCAACCCAAACAAACUCCCAAAACCAAAUCAUUGUACCCAAUACCUUCUGAAUCAGACCUUUUGAUAUACCAAAUCAAAAACAAAACUUUCAACAACGGAUCUCUUGGUUCUGGCAUCGAUGAAGAACGCAGC
rnacentral:misc_RNA from 1 species